rnacentral:rRNA from 1 species
UACGAAGGGGGCUAGCGUUGCUCGGAAUUACUGGGCGUAAAGGGAGCGUAGGCGGACUGUUAAGUUAGAGGUGAAAGCCCAGGGCUCAACCUUGGAAUUGCCUUUGAUACUGGAAAACUUGAAUCUUGGAGAGGUCAGUGGAACUCCGAGUGUAGAGGUAAAAUUCGUAGAUAUUCGGAAGAACACCAGUGGCGAAGGCGACAUACUGGCUCAUUACUGACGCUGAGGCUCGAAAGCGUGGGGAGCAAACAGG